rnacentral:rRNA from 1 species
AACGAACGCUGGCGGCAUGCCUAACACAUGCAAGUCGAACGAGACCUUCGGGUCUAGUGGCGCACGGGUGCGUAACGCGUGGGAAUCUGCCCUUGGGUUCGGAAUAACAGUUGGAAACGACUGCUAAUACCGGAUGAUGACGUAAGUCCAAAGAUUUAUCGCCCAAGGAUGAGCCCGCGUAGGAUUAGCUAGUUGGUGAGGUAAAGGCUCACCAAGGCGACGAUCCUUAGCUGGUCUGAGAGGAUGAUCAGCCACACUGGGACUGAGACACGGCCCAGACUCCUACGGGAGGCAGCAGUGGGGAAUAUUGGUCAAUGGGCGAAAGCCUGAUCCAGCAAUGCCGCGUGAGUGAUGAAGGCCUUAGGGUUGUAAAGCUCUUUUACCCGGGAUGAUAAUGACAGUACCGGGAGAAUAAGCUCCGGCUAACUCCGUG